AUAGCGUAUAUUAAAGUUGUUGCAGUUAAAAAGCUCGUAGUUGGAUUUCUGGUUGGAGCGACCGGUCGGGCAUUGAUUUGUCUGCACUGGAGUCGGUUCCGUCCAUCCUCUUGGAAAGUGCGUAUGGCAUUAAGUUGUCGUGCGUAUGAUCCAGGUCUUUUACUGUGAAAAAAUUAGAGUGUUUAAAGCAGGCCUUCGCCUUGAAUACAUUAGCAUGGAAUAAUAAGAUAGGACUUGGGUCUAUUUUGUUGGUUUGCAGACCGAAGUAAUGAUUAAUAGGGAUAGUUGGGGGUAUUUAUAUUCCGAUGUCAGAGGUGAAAUUCUUAGAUUUUCGGAAGAUAAACUUAUGCGAAAGCAUUUACCAAGGAUGUUUUCAUUAAUCAAGAGCGAAAGUUAGGGGAUCGAAGAUGAUUAGAUACCAUCGUAGUCUUAACCAUAAACUAUGCCGACUCAGGAUUGGUGAACGUUGAUUUAAUGACUUCAUCAGCACUGUAUGAGAAAUCAAAGUCUUUGGGUUCCGGGGGGAGUAUGGUCGCAAGGCUGAAACUUA
rnacentral:rRNA from 1 species